GAGGCUGCUGGCCCACUGGUAGGUGUCGGGGUCGGCGUCCGGGGUCGUAGCGCGGUCGGCGACGGCGUGUUCGAGGUCGGUGAGCCACU
rnacentral:tRNA from 1 species